UACGUAGGGUGCAAGCGUUGUCCGGAAUUAUUGGGCGUAAAGAGCUCGUAGGCGGUCUGUCGCGUCUGGUGUGAAAACUCAGGGCUUAACCCUGAGCUUGCAUCGGGUACGGGCAGACUAGAGUGCGGUAGGGGAGACUGGAAUUCCUGGUGUAGCGGUGAAAUUCGUAGAUAUCGGGAGGAACACCAGUGGCGAAGGCGGCGAUCUGGGCAGAUACUGACGCUGAUGUGCGAAAGCGUGGGGAGCAAACAGG
rnacentral:rRNA from 1 species